AGUGAACGCUGGCGGUAUGCCUAACACAUGCAAGUCGAACGGCAGCACAGUAAUAGCUUGCUCUUACGGGUGGCGAGUGGCAGACGGGUGAGGAAGACAUCGGAAUCUACUUUUGCGAGGGGGAUAACGUCGGGAAACUUACGCUAAUACCGCAUACGACCUGCGUGUGAAAGCAGGGGAUCUUCGUACGUUGGUCGGUUGAGUGAGCGGAUGUCGGAUUAGAUAGUUGGCGGGGGAAAGGCCGACCAAGGCGACGAUCCGUAGCUGGCCAGAGAGGAUGACCAGACACACUGGAACUGAGACACGGGCCAGACUCGUACGGGAGCAAGCAGCGGGGACUAUUGGAAAGUGGGCGCAAGCCUGAUCCAGCCAUACGGCGUGGGUGAACAAGGCAUUCGCGUUGGAAAGCCGUUUUGUUGGGAAAGAAAAGCAGCAGGUCAAUACCAAGCUGUUAUGACGGUACCCAAAGAAUAAGCACCGGCUAACUUCGUG
rnacentral:rRNA from 1 species